rnacentral:rRNA from 1 species
GGGGGGGGGGGGGGGGGGGGGGGGGGGGGGGGGGGGGGGCGGGGGGGGGAGGGGCUUGGUUGUCGGGGGUGAGCGGCGGACGGGGGGGUAACGCGUGGAGCACCUACCUAUAAGACUGGGAUAACUUGGGGAAACGGGAGCUACUACCGGAUAAUAUUUUGAACCGCAUGGUUCAAGAGGGAAAGACGGUCUUGCUGUCACUUAUAGAUGGAUCCGCGCUGCAUUAGCUAGUUGGUAAGGUAACGGCUUACCAAGGCAACGAUGCAUAGCCGACCUGAGAGGGUGAUCGGCCACACUGGAACUGAGACACGGACCAGAGUCCUACGGGAGGCAGCAGUAGGGAAUCUUCCGCAAUGGGCGAAAGCCUGACGGAGCAACGCCGCGUGAGUGAUGAAGGUCUUCGGAUCGUAAAACUCUGUUAUUAGGGAAGAACAUAUGUGUAAGUAACUGUGCACAUCUUGACGGUACCUAAUCAGAAAGCCACGGCUAACUACGUG